rnacentral:rRNA from 1 species
UACGUAGGCAGCAAGCGUUGUUCGGAGUUACUGGGCGUAAAGGGUGCGUAGUCGGCUUUUUAAGUUUGGUGUGAAAUCUCCCGGCUCAACUGGGAGGGUGCGCCGAAUACUGAGAGGCUAGAGUGUGGGAGAGGAAAGUGGAAUUCCUGGUGUAGCGGUGAAAUGCGCAGAUAUCAGGAAGAACACCCGUGGCGAAGGCGGCUCUCUGGAACGCAACUGACGCUGAGACGCGAAAGCGUGGGGAGCAAACAGG